rnacentral:rRNA from 1 species
AAAUUGAAGAGUUUGAUCAUGGCUCAGAUUGAACGCUGGCGGCAGGCCUAACACAUGCAAGUCGAACGGUAACAGGAAGCAGCUUGCUGCUUUGCUGACGAGUGGCGGACGGGUGAGUAAUGUCUGGGAAACUGCCUGAUGGAGGGGGAUAACUACUGGAAACGGUGGCUAAUACCGCAUAACGUCGCAAGACCAAAGAGGGGUGGACCUUCGGGCCUCUUGCCAUCAGAUGUGCCCAGAUGGGAUUAGCUAGUUGGUGAGGUAACGGCUCACCAAGGCGACGAUCCCUAGCUGGUCUGAGAGGAUGACCAGCCACACUGGAACUGAGACACGGUCCAGACUCCUACGGGAGGCAGCAGUGGGGAAUAUUGCACAAUGGGCGCAAGCCUGAUGCAGCCAUGCCGCGUGUAUGAAGAAGGCCUUCGGGUUGUAAAAGUACUUUCAGCGGGGAGGAAGGUGUUGUGGUUAAUAACCGCAGCAAUUGACGUUACCCGCAGAAGAAGCACCGGCUAACUCCGUGCCAGCAGCCGCGGUAAUACGGAGGGUGCAAGCGUUAAUCGGAAUUACUGGGCGUAAAGCGCACGCAGGCGGUCUGUCAAGUCGGAUGUGAAAUCCCCGGGCUCAACCUGGGAACUGCAUUCGAAACUGGCAGGCUUGAGUCUUGUAGAGGGGGGUAGAAUUCCAGGUGUAGCGGUGAAAUGCGUAGAGAUCUGGAGGAAUACCGGUGGCGAAGGCGGCCCCCUGGACAAAGACUGACGCUCAGGUGCGAAAGCGUGGGGAGCAAACAGGAUUAGAUACCCUGGUAGUCCACGCCGUAAACGAUGUCUACUUGGAGGUUGUGCCCUUGAGGCGUGGCUUCCGGAGCUAACGCGUUAAGUAGACCGCCUGGGGAGUACGGCCGCAAGGUUAAAACUCAAAUGAAUUGACGGGGGCCCGCACAAGCGGUGGAGCAUGUGGUUUAAUUCGAUGCAACGCGAAGAACCUUACCUGGUCUUGACAUCCACAGAAGAAUCCAGAGAUGGAUUUGUGCCUUCGGGAACUGUGAGACAGGUGCUGCAUGGCUGUCGUCAGCUCGUGUUGUGAAAUGUUGGGUUAAGUCCCGCAACGAGCGCAACCCUUAUCCUUUGUUGCCAGCGGUUAGGCCGGGAACUCAAAGGAGACUGCCAGUGAUAAACUGGAGGAAGGUGGGGAUGACGUCAAGUCAUCAUGGCCCUUACGACCAGGGCUACACACGUGCUACAAUGGCGCAUACAAAGAGAAGCGACCUCGCGAGAGCAAGCGGACCUCAUAAAGUGCGUCGUAGUCCGGAUUGGAGUCUGCAACUCGACUCCAUGAAGUCGGAAUCGCUAGUAAUCGUGGAUCAGAAUGCCACGGUGAAUACGUUCCCGGGCCUUGUACACACCGCCCGUCACACCAUGGGAGUGGGUUGCAAAAGAAGUAGGUAGCUUAACCUUCGGGAGGGCGCUUACCACUUUGUGAUUCAUGACUGGGGUGAAGUCGUAACAAGGUAACCGUAGGGGAACCUGCGGUUGGAUCACCUCCUUA